CGUAGGGGGCUAGCGUUGUCCGGAUUUAUUGGGCGUAAAGCGCGUGUAGGCGGCCGGCUAGGUCUGGUGUGAAAACUCGAGGCUCAACCUCGAGAUGUCGCCGGAAACCAGUCGGCUAGAGUCCGGAAGAGGAGAGUGGAAUUCCUGGUGUAGCGGUGAAAUGCGCAGAUAUCAGGAAGAACACCUAUGGCGAAAGCAGCUCUCUGGGACGGUACUGACGCUGAGACGCGAAAGCGUGGGGAGCGAACAGGAUUGGAUACCCUGGUAGUCCACGCCGUAAACGAUGGGCGCUAGGUGUGGGCGGUGUCGACUCCGUCCGUGCCGAAGCUAACGCAUUAAGCGCCCCGCCUGGGGAGUACGGCCGCAAGGCUA
rnacentral:rRNA from 1 species